GCCAGGUGAGUUGACUUGAUCCUCUGGCGUUCUGUGAGGUGCAACAGCUAAAAGCACGCGAGAGUUCUGAUGGUG
ensembl:snoRNA SNORD28 Small nucleolar RNA SNORD28